UAAGGCCUCCCCCCUUCCCCCAUUCAAUGUUGCCGUUUUGUGUAUAUUAAUGAUCUGACCUACUGUACAACAAAAUUGUAUGUGUACUAGAAAUGUGGGAGAGCAACAUUGAAUGGGGGGGGGGGGGGGGGGGGG
rnacentral:miRNA from 1 species